UGUCACUUGGUAGACAUCCUUCUGGUGCAGUUACCCCUGAUCAACUGUGGUCCAGAAGUAGAUGAUCCUCCUUCUGACACAUCAUCAUAAGGUCGGUGGUAUCCUAACACUUACGUCUAUGUCAUUACCUCACUUCAUCUCAUCAUGCAGGCCUUUCUUCAUCUCACAUCAUUACAAGAAGAAGAAAGGUGACCUGUCCAGGCAUAUGCUUCAAGCAGCCUUGUUUUACUGAAAACUGACCAGAGUUCAUCUCCAGAUGUGGCAUCAUAAUGUGACCGAGUGCUAGAAGGUGGCCUUGAUUGUGCCCAGCUCAAGGUAGUUGGAAAAUAAAGUAGUGAAUUGGAAAGCA